CCUACGUGAGGCAGCAGUGGGGAAUAUUGCGCAAUGGGCGAAAGCCUGACGCAGCGACGCCGCGUGAGGGAUGAAGGUCUUCGGAUCGUAAACCUCUGUCAGCAGGGAAGAACGGUCACUGUGCUAAUCAGCAGUGAAUUGACGGUACCUGCAAAGGAAGCACCGGCUAACUCCGUGCCAGCAGCCGCGGUAAUACGGAGGGUGCGAGCGUUAAUCGGAAUUACUGGGCGUAAAGCGCUCGUAGGCGGUAUGUCAAGUCAAGGGUGAAAUCCCCGCGCUCAACGUGGGAACUGCCUUUGAAACUGGCAAACUGGAGUGUGUGAGAGGAUAGUGGAAUUCCAGGUGUAGGAGCGAAAUCCGUAGAUAUCUGGAGGAACAUCAGUGGCGAAGGCGACUAUCUGGCACAUAACUGACGCUGAGGAGCGAAAGCGUGGGUAGCAAACAGGAUUAGAUACCCCAGUAGUC
rnacentral:rRNA from 1 species